rnacentral:rRNA from 1 species
CAGUAGCCGCGGGAAUACGUAGGGUGCAAGCGUUAAUCGGAAUUACUGGGCGUAAAGCGUGCGCAGGCGGUUAUAUAAGACAGAUGUGAAAUCCCCGGGCUCAACCUGGGAACUGCAUUUGUGACUGUAUAGCUAGAGUACGGCAGAGGGGGAUGGAAUUCCGCGUGUAGCAGUGAAAUGCGUAGAUAUGCGGAGGAACACCGAUGGCGAAGGCAAUCCCCUGGGCCUGUACUGACGCUCAUGCACGAAAGCGUGGGGAACAAACAGGAUUAGAUACCCCUGUAGUCCCUGUCUCUUAUAA